rnacentral:rRNA from 1 species
GGCGAACCGUGCGAACGUUAUUCGGAAUCACUGGGCUUAAAGCGCGUGUAGGCGGGCGGGAACGUCGGUCGUUGAAAGCCCCCGGCUCAACCGGGGAAUGGGCGCCGAAACGACCUGCCUCGAGGGACGUAGGGGGACCUGGAACUUCCGGUGGAGCGGUGAAAUGCGUUGAUAUCGGAAGGAACGCCGGUGGCGAAAGCGACGUGCUGGACCUCUUCUGACGCUGAGGCGCGAAAGCCAGGGGAGCAAACGGG